rnacentral:tRNA from 1 species
GGUCUGAUAGCUCAGUUGGUAGAGCAGAGCCCUGAAAAGGCUUGUGUCGGUGGUUCAAGUCCACCUCAGACCA